rnacentral:RNase_P_RNA from 1 species
UCGAGAGGAUGAGGUGAUCGCGGUCGGACCCGCAAGGGUCGCAGAUCGAGGAAAGUCCGGGCUCCACAGGGCAGGGUGCUUGCGAAAUGCAAGUCGGGGUGACCCGCAGGAAAGUGCCACAGAAAGCAAACCGCCGACGCUCGCGUCGGUAAGGGUGAAAGGGUGCGGCAAGAGCGCACCGGACUCUCGGUGACGAGGGUCGCAUGGUAAACCCCACUCGGUGCAAGGCCGAACAGAGCCGCGAGCCCGACCCUCCGGGGGAAGGCGAGCAGGGCGGCCCGUCCCAGUGCUCGGGUAGUGCCGCGUAGAAGAAUGAUCAUCACCUGGGGGAGGUAACGAGCCCAGGGACAAAACCCGGCUUACGACCCUCUCGACCGU